rnacentral:lncRNA from 1 species
UCAAACAUACUUUCCAUUAUGAUGUGAAGGUUUUUUACGAUGGUCUAGCGCCCUUUUGAAAUGCAUCCCUUUCUUUCUUUAUGGGUGGUUAGUAGGAAGAAAUCGACGAUGGCCCAUAUACAUGACCUUCCUACACUAUUUCAAAUACAUAAUGUCUAUGUCAUCUAAACAGUGGGUGCAGGCCCGAUAUCUCUUAUUUGUCCAUCCUGAAAGGUUACUUAGCGCAGGCCAAUCAUUGAUAGUUACAAACAACAAUGCUCAUAGGUCAAAGCUCUCUUAUUUAUCCUCAUCCCACACACGUACACCUUCUUCCUUCUAGAGUAGUAAAAGUUCAUCAACCAAUGAUCUUAGGUACACGUCAAUGUUGUUGUCGGGUUGUUUUGGACCUUGGAUAAGCACCGGUAGCAUAAUUAACUUCCGCUUCAUGCACAACUAAGGAGGAAGGUUGAACAUACAUAGGGUCACAGGCCAAGUACUAUGACCACUACUCAACUCACUGAAUGGAUUCAAUCCAUCAGUACUCAAACCAAAUCUUAUAUUCCUUGCAUCACUUUCAGAGUCUAGGAAUGCUCUAUCAAUUGAUCUCUACUGGCCCCCAUCCGCGGGGUGUCUCAACAUCUCAUCUUGCUUACAUUCUUCUUUGUGCCAUCAUAUCAAUUUAGCAUUUGCCUUAUUUCUGAACAAAUGCUUCAAACGUGGUAUUAUAGGGAAAAUACCACAUCACCUUCAUAGAAACUCUCUUCUUGGGAGGCUACCCCUCGACAUCACCAGGAUCAUCUCACCUGAUCUUAUACCGCAGCGCGCACACAAGACAAGCAACCAAUUUCUCAUAUUCAUCACCGCGAUAGAGGAUACAAUCAUUAGGGUAUGCGUGUAUCUUCUGAACCUCCAAUCCCAGAGGGCAAACAAUCUAUUUAGCUUCAUAUGUUGUGGACAGUAAUUCAUUAUUCUCGGUGAGAAUGUUCUUUACAAUUUUUAAUAUCCUCUAAAAUGCCUUAUCGGACACAUCACUUUUUGCCUUCCAUUACAGCAGUUCUAGUGUGGUACUCAUUUUUUUAUGCCUCUGAUUGCAAUCUGGGUACAACAAUUUUUUAUGAUCAUGUAUCAUGCGCUGCAACUUUUCUGAUUCCUUCUCAGUUUAGCAAUCUCUGUGUGCAUCCCAUAGCACCUAACCAAGAUCAUCAAUAGGGUUGUCUUCUGCAAACUCAUCUUCAUCAGCCUCACCCAUUAUAUGUAGUAUCUGCAAAAGCUUGGCCUGCAGCCCAAUCCAGAAUGUUGUUAUCAUCCUCCUCUUCCAUUAUAACCUCUCUUUUGCCAUGCUUUGUCCAAACCAAAUAGUUAGGCAUGAAACCGUAUCUAAACAAGUGGCUAUGAAUAGUCCCCCAGGAAGAGUAGUCUUUCUUAUUACUGCAUUGGAAGCAUGGACAACAUAUGAAUCCGUUCUCUGGCUUGUUGGCUUUGGCCACUUCGAGAAAAUAAUGCAAGCCAUCAACAAACUCCUUGGUUCGUCUAUCCGCGUUAUAGAUCCAUUGUCGGUCCAUCUGCAUCGUAUUACAUGAGAAAUGGACAUAGGUCUUCGUAUUAGACAAAGAACUUGAUCAAUAUUAGGUAGGGGGAAAAUAGAGUUAAGGUGAUUAUAAUAUUUGGCCCUUGCAAAAAAUAUUAGAUAAAUAAAUUAUUACAUGAGAAAUGGACAUAGGUCUUCGUAUUAGAUAAAUAACUUGAUCAAUAUUCACAAUUUACACCAAUCAACCUUUGUAAAGAUAAAAGUAAUUCACAUGAAAAUUAUACCAUUCAAUAUUCAUAACAUUCACUAAAGAUACAUAUAAAGAUUACACUCAUAACAAGAUAAUAAAGAUACAUAUACACUAAAGAUUAUAGACGCUCCAUAGUGGAGUUCACGUAGUUAAUUAUCCUAAAAUAAUGGUACAACAUAGUAGAAUGUUCACCCUCCAAGUCAUCUCUGC